CCUACGGGAGGCAGCAGUGGGGAAUAUUGCACAAUGGGCGCAAGCCUGAUGCAGCCAUGCCGCGUGUGUGAAGAAGGCCUUCGGGUUGUAAAGCACUUUCAGUAGGGAGGAAGGUAGUGUAGUUAACACCUGCAUUAUUUGACGUUACCUACAGAAGAAGCACCGGCUAACUCCGUGCCAGCAGCCGCGGUAAUACGGAGGGUGCGAGCGUUAAUCGGAAUUACUGGGCGUAAAGCGCAUGCAGGCGUCCUGUUAAGACAGAUGUGAAAGCCCGGGGCUUAACCUCGGAAUUGCAUUUGAAACUGGCAGGCUAGAGUCUUGUAGAGGGGGGUAGAAUUUCAUGUGUAGCGGUGAAAUGCGUAGAGAUCUGAAGGAAUACCAGUGGCGAAGGCGGCCCCCUGGACAAAGACUGACGCUCAGAUGCGAAAGCGUGGGGAGCAAACAGGAUUAGAUACCCGAGUAGUC
rnacentral:rRNA from 1 species